UGGGGAAUUUUGGACAAUGGGCGAAAGCCUGAUCCAGCAAUGCCGCGUGUGUGAAGAAGGCCUUCGGGUUGUAAAGCACUUUUGUCCGGAAAGAAAUCCUUGGCUCUAAUACAGUCGGGGGAUGACGGUACCGGAAGAAUAAGCACCGGCUAACUACGUGCCAGCAGCCGCGGUAAUACGUAGGGUGCAAGCGUUAAUCGGAAUUACUGGGCGUAAAGCGUGCGCAGGCGGUUUGCUAAGACCGAUGUGAAAUCCCCGGGCUCAACCUGGGAACUGCAUUGGUGACUGGCAGGCUAGAGUAUGGCAGAGGGGGGUAGAAUUCCACGUGUAGCAGUGAAAUGCGUAGAGAUGUGGAGGAAUACCGAUGGCGAAGGCAGCCCCCUGGGCCAAUACUGACGCUCAUGCACGAAAGCGUGGGGAGCAAACAGGAUUAGAUACCCUGGUAGUCCACGCCCUAAACGAUGUCAACUAGUUGUGGGGAUUCAUUUCCUUAGUAACGUAGCUAACGCGUGAAGUUGACCGCCUGGGGAGUACGGUCGCAAGAUUAAAACUUAAAGGAAUUGACGGGGUCAUAGCUG
rnacentral:rRNA from 1 species